UACGUAGGGUGCAAGCGUUGUCCGGAAUUAUUGGGCGUAAAGCGCUCGUAGGCGGUCUGUCGCGUCGGAUGUGAAAAUCCAGGGCUCAACCCUGGACCUGCAUUCGAUACGGGCAGACUAGAGUUCGGUAGGGGAGACUGGAAUUCCAGGUGUAGCGGUGAAAUGCGUAGAUAUCUGGAGGAAUACCGGUGGCGAAGGCGGCAUCCUGGACCGGCAUUGACGCUGAGGAGCGAAAGCCAGGGGAGCAAACGGG
rnacentral:rRNA from 1 species